UCGGAUGAACCAGGGGCCCCUCGAUCUAUUCGCUACGACCAUGGGAACCAUGUCCCAGCCACCAUCGCGAUCCCUUCGCCUCCGUCAUCCAACUCAUCCCUCGACCUUUUUGCUAGGGUGUCGUUGUGGGUUCCCAGCCUCCGCCACCCUCAAGACCGUAGACGCCACCGCUGUCAUCGAGACCACGGACGCCACCGCCGUCAUCGAGACCGCCCCGCCACCUUCCCCAUGCGGGCCAUCCGCGCGUCUCCCUCCAAUCCCCUUCCCGCUGACCGCGGGGAUGCGGCCUCCUUCCAUCAUCCAUGGUGACGGCGCCCGCGUCCCACAGUGACCCUCCCCCUCCGACAGGUUUGCCGUUUGAUGGGAUGGGAGGUGCCGCUGCAGUUUGGGGAGGCACAACCAGGAUCCGGUUGGGAUCUACGUGUGGACUCGUUCGAGGCCAUGAUGCUCGACUCCUGCACCGCCGAUCUGGACAAGGAGGAGCGCCCCGAGACUAAAAAGAAACGGAGGGAGUACUAUCUGCGGAUACAUGAUAUUUUCGUUUCUUCACUGUCCACCUGCCUGGAUCCGGGGAGCAUGUGUCUUUAUUUACUGCUUUUGCCCCACUCGGCUCCAAAUUUAAUCAACCAUAAUAUUUGUGGGGUACCUAAAGAAAUGCAUGUUGUAAUCCGUGAUGCUUCUGGAGGUGCUGCAUUAUUUUGGGGACCAAACUAAUCCGCACUGUGGCGUUCACUGCAACUGUGCCCAUUGUUGUGAUGCUGACGCCUACUUUUUAGUGUUACCCGUGUCCCAUUUUGGUUCAAGAAAAACAUCGCUUCCUACGAUGGAGGACGCGCUGCCUCCUGGCAAAUGGGAUCGGAGGGAGGGGCUCUACCUCGUGAUGGUCAGCGAGGCAGCGGCCGAAGGGGAGCCCGGCGUUGAACACGGGUGUGGAAUGCAAUGAACUGGAGUACAAGCUCAACCCCGGCAAACUCCAGUUCCGCAAAAGAGAUUAAGAGCUCAAGGUACCAAGUUCCUAAAUGGAUCGACACCAGGGUUUCUGUCAAAGUAGUCGACAGAGAAAGAGAAGUCAUAAAUCUUUCAGGAACCGUUGUGCCGAUGAUGAUUGUUUCUGAAAUCUGAAUAUCAUCCAAAUUUAUUUCUAGAACACAGGCUGAUUUAGCAAGCUACACUCAGAGUAAAGGAAGGCUUCAUGGUCAGAAGGGGCAUGACUUAUCUGCAUCAGUGACAAGUUGUACCCCACCAUCCAUUGCGACCUAAAGCCAAAGCGAGAAGAGGAAAUGGAGCAACUUGGACUUCUAUGUUCUCUUGCUGCAUUCUCUGGGAAUCAUAAAUACUUGCAUAAUUAUUGAGCUGAAGGUGUUCAUCGAUAGUCUUCAUCGAUAAAUACUUGCAUAUUUGACCGCAAACAUUUUCUCGGUUGUGCCCUACUUUACUUUCUGAAUCUUGGUAAGGUGCGAGAAAAAUCUUUUUGGUGAUAUAAUGGAGGCCUAAUGAAGGUUGGAUGAUUCUGCCUGAUGAGGAUGUCCAAUAUUGCUCUCGAGAAAGUGAAACUGGUGAACCACAAGGCCCUUGCUGAAAGCUUCAGCAAGCCCACUUUUAGUAACAUCAAAAUAAGAAGUACGUAUAUGGAUAGUAAUCCUUCACUGAAAAAUUUAAUUAUAUUCUUCUGUAAAUUAGGUUGCUACACUGCACCCGAGCUAUACAGAAAUGAAGUGUUCGACAUGAGUAUGCAUAAACAUUCAGCUUCAUCCUUCACAAGGUCGGUAUAAGUUUUUGUUCCACAUGCAGUUAUUGUGCAGCGUGCACAAAUCAGCAGAGGCAGCUAUUUCAGGUAAGAUAUACUGUAUUAAUAACCAAGUAUAAUCAACGUUAUAGGCUGGCCUCAUGUUGAGAAUACUUGACAAUGAGUUUUCACAUCUACUACAGCGGUAGUAUCCCACAUUUAUUUUUCUUUUGUUUGCAUUAUCAAUCUGCUUACAUGGUUAAGGAUUUUUUUUCCCUUCCACUAGAGAGAAAUGGAUCCUCAAGUUCCAUUUUGUGGUGAUUUUCUUUUGGAGCGUUAUCAAUCAAGUUGCAUGGAAUUAGAAAAGGGAUGAGCAACUCAAGCGAAUAAAGGGUAGAAGAAUGAAGAAGUAAGCAGGGUGUGGAGGCAGGUCCUCUUAAGGCAACAUGGAGGUUCUAACAAACAGCGAUGCAAUAUGGAGGACUUGAUCGUUUACGUUGGAAGAAUGGACAACCUGCAGGGCAACAUGGGUAUCUCACAUCUAUCUCUUUAGGGUUCAGAUUUUUGUCUGAUCCCACCUGCCGCAAGUGCGAGACGAUUUUCUGCAGAUGCUGAGGUGGCUCAAACGGAUCUGUUGGCACCCUGUCCAUGCAUACAAUAGCAUUCCCUGCUCUCCCCGUUCGAUCAUCUGUCCAGUAUAAGCAUGGAUGAGUUGAUUGGCUCGGUUCACUUUAUAUUUCUCAUACGGAUAGGAGCAUCAAAUGGUUUCAAGCAUGCUUCCGGUUGCCUGGCAGUUGGUGAGAGAACUAUGUGAUAUUAUCCUCUCACGUAACCUGUUCUGAAGCUCAAUUUAGGUGCAAUGUCUAUACAACAGAAUACACAAGUCGAAUCAGACCGAAGGCCAAUGGUUUUGUUAUUUUGGCGAGAGUCAACAUAUUUGGACAAUGUCUAUGUAUAAUAAUGUAACUUUACUGGGUUUCUGUCAUAAUUUAUUUGAACAUUUUGAUUACUACACUAGCAUAACCUCAUUUGGUUGCUACUACAGAUUUCAACUAUGGACACAUUAUCACAGUUUUCAUGUCCUAUCGUUGAUAGAUUAUACCUUGCCCUUA